rnacentral:rRNA from 1 species
AUGCAUCCUCCUCCAAAGUCGCUCCUCAUCCUCCUCCUCCACGCGGUCCUGCUCGCCGCCUCACCACAUGCGCUGGCGCAGCGGCUACCGGCGGCCGCCUGCACGCCGCAGGAGAGGGACGCGCUGCUGGCGUUCAAGCAAGGCAUCACCAUCAGCAGCGACACCGCUGGCCUCCUCGCCUCAUGGCGCGAAGACGACUGCUGCCAGUGGAGGGGUGUCCGGUGCAGCAACCGGACCGGCCAUGUCGUCGCGCUCAACCUUCGAGGGCACGAACUGGUCGGUGAGAUAAGUCCUUCUUUGCUCUCCCUGCCGCACCUGGAGCAUCUCGAUCUCAGCUCCAACAGCCUCGUCGGCCCGGCUGGCAGUAUUCCCGAAUUUCUGGGUUCUCUGGGUAACCUGAUUACCUGA